GGCUCAGGAUGAACGCUAGCGACAGGCUUAACACAUGCAAGGUCGAGGGGCAGCAUGAUUUGUAGCAAUACAGAUUGAUGGCGACCGGCGCACGGGUGAGUAACGCGUAUGCAACUUACCUAUCAGGAGGGGGAUAGCCCGGCGAAAGUCGGAUUAAUACCCCAUAAAACAGGGGUCCCGCAUGGGAAUAUUUGUUAAAGAUUCAUCGCUGAUAGAUAGGCAUGCGUUCCAUUAGGCAGUUGGCGGGGUAACGGCCCACCAAACCGACGAUGGAUAGGGGUUCUGAGAGGAAGGUCCCCCACAUUGGAACUGAGACACGGUCCAAACUCCUACGGGAGGCAGCAGUGAGGAAUAUUGGUCAAUGGACGAGAGUCUGAACCAGCCAAGUAGCGUGAAGGAUGACUGCCCUAUGGGUUGUAAACUUCUUUUAUACGGGAAUAAAGUGAGGCCACGUGUGCCUUUUUGUAUGUACCGUAUGAAUAAGGAUCGGCUAACUCCGUG
rnacentral:rRNA from 1 species